AGCUGGUCCGAUGGUAGUGGGUUAUCAGAACUUAAUAACAUUAGUGUCACUAAAGUUGAUAUACAACUUGCACUGCUAAAUUUAACUGGCUUUUA
ensembl:misc_RNA Y_RNA Y RNA